GCACGGCCCCGCGGUCAGUUCCCAGUCCCCGAGUCCCCAGAGCCCCGGUGCCCCGGGAAUGGGGAAUGCGCGGGGCCGAAGGAAUCCUCCCGGGGAGAUCAGCCUGGCCUCGGACCCUCCCUGGGACGCAGUGGACGCGACGCCUGGAGGAGGAGAGGAGAGGGCUGAGCGCUCCUCAUAGACCCUGAGGGGCUGUGGCCCAAAGGGUGUCGCUGGAGUUCUCCUGCUCAGGAACGAAUCUGAGGACAGGCAACAUCUUGGUGAUGCUCCAGACUUUCCGGCUGACUUGGUUUAGAGGACCUGUGGGAUGUGCUGAGAAGGAGGACUGGGGGAGAGCCCUGAGGACGGAUCGCAGAGAACCAGGACGAGCAUCAGGAGUCGGCAUGAUUAUGAAGUUACUGUCUCUGAGCUCCCAGCCCGCCUUCCUGUGCUCUGCUUUGUGCCGGAUCCCCUUGUGAAGAAUGGCAGAACAGGAGAAGAAGGAAAUCGGGAGACACCAGGCCUUUCUUAGAGCUGAGACAGAGAAGGGACCCUCUAGGGCCACAUCAGCACUCACCUCACACAUACGACCGGAUGAGAGAGGGAGGCUGGAACUUGUCUUUGAAAUCACAGCAGCUUCCUAGAAUCCGAGGUAUGGGAAUGCUGCGGUUCCUGAAAAAUGUAGCAGCAACCACAGCGCCUGAAGUAGGAACGCUUCCCAUCAUUUCAUCCCAGGAAUCUGUCUCCGAGACAAUUCUAGCUUCAAUAGCCCCAUCCUUUGUCCAGGACUGUGCCUUCUUGCUGGGAAACUUCCUCCUUGGGCCUUCAUCUUAUUGGACUUUCCUCUUGAGGACAGCUCUGUGCCGACACCCAGGGCUGUGAGGGGAGGGAGGGGAAAGCUGCAGGAGUGUGGGUCCGUGACGCUCACCACUGAGCCAAGCACCAGUAUCAGACAACCGCGCACGCCGACAGGAGCCCCGACUCGGUCCUGCUAAGUGUGGAUGUGCGGGCGCGCGCAAACACACACACGCACUACACACAACCUGUCACACUCAGACACACGAUCCUCCUCUGCUCCUCCAGCCCCCACAGGCCCGAGGCUGCAAACACAAUGGGCCCGGGGCUCCACACUUUGGGGGCAGCUCCACUCCCACCCCUACCCCAGGUGAGUCCUGCUCCGCCUCGCCUGGCUCCCACUUCUCCCCAGGCUUCCAUUAACUCACCUGCGGUGGCUGAGCCACCCAGAACGCACGGUUGAGGGCCCUCAGGGUCCAAGUUUACGCCUCCCCUGGGGCUUCUGGGAAAUGUAGUCCACAGCCGGAAGGAGAUGUGCUCGGGCUUUGAGUGCGCAGGCGCAUGUGCGCCGCGCGGAUCUGGCGUCUCUGGUCGGCCCGCGGAGAUGGCUGACCAGCGCUGUAAGCCGAGCGACCUCCAGACGGGAGCGGUCCGGCAGGUGCGAGCCUCUCGGGACCCUCAGAGUGCUGCGCCGCCGAGUGCAGCCGUGGGUGCAGCCCUGAGGCCAAGCGCGUAGGGACGGAUUCUGUCGGUUUCUUCCCUGAGGUAGUCCGGGAGCCUGGUGCACAGAGUGGAACAGAGAAAAAAGGAAAAUGCUUGCUUUAAAGAUUCUACUUCCAAAAGGUAUGAGUGCCUAGGCUCUUCAGCAAAGUGGCCCCUUUCUCGCAACAUGGUAGCAUGUAAUUGAGUAUCGAAAAAAAGCAGCCCCUGAGAUGCAAGAACUGACCUGCCACUUACAGCCAGCCCUCCAGAGCUGCAGUUCGGCAUCUGUGGAUUCAUCCAACCAUGCAUCAUGUGACAAAAGUCCAGGUAUAAAUGAACUCUCGCACUUGAAGCCCCUGUUGUUCCAGGGUCAACUGUGUUUCUAUUGAACUCUGCCAGUCUAAAACCUUGCUCUCAGGACAACAGGCAAAAUCUCCCAGAUUAGUACUAAGACUGUAGUUAUAUUCACACCUUCUCUGAUCUCUUCAGCCUCAACCCCUGGACCAGCCCAGCCCCUCCUCAGCCAGCCAGCCAGCAUUCAUUUUCUGAGCACCUAUCACAAUUCAGUUACUGGGUGGAUACCAGAAACAAAGUUCCCUUAGUCACAGUCAGCUCACAACUCCUUAAAAGAAUUCUUUCCUACCCCCUGGCCUUUGCAAAUGCUAUUCCUGCUGUCUUGGAUGCCCCCUCCCAACGGUGUGCCUGACAGACUCCUCACGCCUCUCUUCCUCUGCAAAUUGGAUUGACAGCCCUCCUUUAGGGCAGUCCCACUACCUGUCUUGCUUCCUUGGAGGUUGGCUAGUCUGCGGACUGUCCCCACCCCAGCUCACCACCAACCAUGACCCCCUCACUCACGUGGCUUCCACGACAGGGGCCUCCUCACAUCCUGGAGCACUAAGCACACUCCCGCCUCAAGGCCACCAGCCCUCAGCCUGACACGCUCCCCCUCUCAAGGCUUCUUCUAGGUCUUUACGUAAAUAUCACCUCAGAAAAGUCUCCCCUGCCAACCUCCAGUCCUAGCGCUAAAGUUGCAGCCUCUGAUACUCCCUGUGCCCCUGCCCUGGCUUAGGUGUUCUCUCCGGGCACAAGACAUCCCAUCUGUUCACUUCUCGUUUAAGCACAUCCUCAACGGAGACACUGCCUCCGGGAGGAACAGACACUGUUCUGCUCACGGUCAUGGCUUCCGCACCUAGAACACAGUGUGGAACAUACCGGGUGCUUGGUAGUUAUUAAUGGAAUGACUGAGGUCUAAGUGUUUACUUUCCUCUUUCCCAGCCACACCAGGAGACCCCCCAGCGCAGGGGACACAGCUGACUCAUCAUGUACCCCAGCACCUGGGGGAGCAGAAGACCAAUGAACUGCUGAGCAAAUGGAUGAUCAUGACAAUGGCUAACAUUUCCUGUCCUCUUACUAGAAGCCAGGUAUAGUUCUAAAAGGUUUCUGUUCAUUUAGUCCUCUGAACAAUUCAGAAAAUUAGGAAACAGUCACAGGGAGGCUAACUUGCUGAGUCGUAACACAAACUAGGUGAUUAGCACCAACUUACAGAAAUAGUUGUGGGGGGGCCAGAUUUCAAACCCGGGUAAGUUUGGCCCAGAAAACACACUGCUCCCCCACUGCCCUCUACUGCUCCCCAGCUAAUAUAUGUUAAGAUUUUAAGAUA